GACGAACGCUGGCGGCAUGCUUAACACAUGCAAGUCGAACGAAAAGUCCCUGCCUUUGGGGGGAGCUCGACUGGCGAAGGGGUGAGUAACACGUGGGUUCCCUGCCAUUGCCUUGAGGGUAACCUCAUGCCACUUGGGCUAUUACCGGAUAAGAGCUCCUGCUGCAUGGUGGGGGUUGGAAAGUUUCGCCGGUUGGGGAUGGAAUCGCGGCUGAUCAGCUUGUUGGUGGGGUAGUGGCUUACCAAGGCUUUGCGGGGUGGCCGGCCUGCGAGGCUCACCGGCCAAAUUGGGACGGAGAUACGGCCCGGACUCCUAUGGUAGGCAGCAGAGGAGAGUAGUGCACUAGGGGCGGAGGCCUGACGUAGCAACGCCGCGUGCGGUAUGACGGCAUUCGGGUUGUGUAGCACUGUCGCCUUUGACGAAGCGUUAGUGACGGUAAUGGGUAAAUAAGCACCGGCUAACUACGUG
rnacentral:rRNA from 1 species